rnacentral:rRNA from 1 species
GACGAACGCUGGCGGCGUGCUUAACACAUGCAAGUCGAACGAUAAAGUCCGGGCUAUUGGCGGGCUGGUUGGGAAGGGGACGGAAGCUUAACUUAUGUGUGAAAUGACUUCCUGUAAGGGGUGAUGAUAGGGGAUGAGGUCUUAGGACGGAUGAUCUCUGGCCUUUGGAUGGGGGCGGGUGGGAUUAGUUAGUUGGUAGGGUAAUAGCCUACCAAGGCGUCGAUUUAUAGCUGGUCUGAUAGGAUGAUCAGCCACACUGGGACUGAGACACGGCCCAGACUCCUACGGGAGGGAGCAGUGGGGAAUAUUGGAGAAUGGGCGAAAGCCUGAUCCAGCAGUGCCGCGUGAGUGAUGAAGGCCUUAGGGUUGUAAAGCUCCUUUACCCGGGAUGUUAAUGACAGUACCGGGAGAAUAAGCUCCGGCUAACUCCGUG